rnacentral:rRNA from 1 species
CAGCAGCCACGGUAAUACGUAGGGUGCAAGCGUUAAUCGGAAUUACUGGGCGUAAAGCGUGCGCAGGCGGUUAUAUAAGACAGAUGUGAAAUCCCCGGGCUCAACCUGGGAACUGCAUUUGUGACUGUAUAGCUAGAGUACGGCAGAGGGGGAUGGAAUUCCGCGUGUAGCAGUGAAAUGCGUAGAUAUGCGGAGGAACACCGAUGGCGAAGGCAAUCUCCUGGGCCUGCACUGACGCUCAUGCACGAAAGCGUGGGGAGCAAACAGGAUUAGAUACCCCCGUAGUCCCUGUCUCUUAUAC